rnacentral:rRNA from 1 species
UAGAGGAAGUAAAAGUCGUACCAAGGUUCCCGUAGGUGAACCUNGCGGAAGGAUCAUUAUUAAAACUUCUCUAUCCGUCUCUCUCACCUUUGUGCACUCGUUGUAGUUCCUUUGAGGGGAACUAUGUAUCUUUCUAUCUAUUGUAUGGAUUAAAGAAUGUUUCAAUAUUAACUCAUGUUCUUCGGAGUUCCGAUCUUCCGAACUUCCGAUGAGCAUUGAGGAAAAUGUUAAUGAAAAUACAACUUUCAGCAAUGGAUCUCUUGGCUCUCGCAUCGAUGAAGAACGCAGCGAAUCGCGAUAAGUAAUGUGAAUUGCAGAUUUUCCGUGAAUCAUCGAAUCUUUGAACGCAUCUUGCGCUCCAUGGUAUUCCAAGGAGCAUGCCUGUUUGAGUGUCGUUUGAAUAUUCUCAAAUUCCGAGGUUUUGAUUUCGGAAUUUGGAUUUGGGAGUUUAAUUGCGGGCAUGAUUAUUGUUAAUCGAGUCGGCUCUCCUGAAAAGCAUUAGCUAGGUUGGCCCAAUUUGCAUGACAUUUUCUGGCCUUUCCAACGUUGUACUACUUCGUUGUAGGCUGGAAAAAAGAUAGUGUCAAAGUUUGGCUACUAGCUUCUAAAAUACAACUACAUUUGCCAAUUCGACCUCAAAUCAGGUAGGAC